AACGAACGCUGGCGGCAUGCCUAACACAUGCAAGUCGAACGAGACCUUCGGGUCUAGUGGCGCACGGGUGCGUAACGCGUGGGAACCUGCCCUUAGGUUCGGAAUAACUCCCCGAAAGGGGUGCUAGUACCGGAUAAUGUCUUCGGACCAAAGAUUUAUCGCCUUUGGAUAGGCCCGCGUUGGAUUAGCUAGUUGGUAGGGUAAAAGCCUACCAAGGCGACGAUCCAUAGCUGGUCUGAGAGGAUGAUCAGCCACACUGGGACUGAGACACGGCCCAGACUCCUACGGGAGGCAGCAGUGGGGAAUAUUGGACAAUGGGCGAAAGCCUGAUCCAGCAAUGCCGCGUGAGUGAUGAAGGCCUUAGGGUUGUAAAGCUCUUUUACCCGGGAUGAUAAUGACAGUACCGGGAGAAUAAGCUCCGGCUAACUCCGUG
rnacentral:rRNA from 1 species